rnacentral:rRNA from 1 species
CCUACGGGAGGCAGCAGUGGGGAAUAUUGCACAAUGGGGGAAACCCUGAUGCAGCGACGCCGCGUGAGUGAAGAAGUAAUUCGGUAUGUAAAGCUCUUUUAGCAGGGAAGAAAAGGACGGUACCUGUGUAAGAUGCUCCGGCUAACAACGUGCCAGCAGCCGCGGGAAUACGCAGGGGGCAAGCGUUAUCCGGAUUUACUGGGGGUAAAGGGAGCGUAGACGGGUGGGCAAGUCUGGAGUGAAAGGCGGGGGCUCAAACCCCGAACUGCACUGGAAACUGUACGGCUGGAGUGCAGGAGAGGUAAGCGGAAUUCCUGGUGUAGCGGUGAAAUGCGUAGAUAUUAGGAAGAACACCAGUGGCGAAGGCGGCUUACUGGACUGUAACUGACGUUGAGGCUCGAAAGCGUGGGGAGCAAACAGGAUUAGAUACCCCGGUAGUC